rnacentral:rRNA from 1 species
AAUGGGGGCAACCCUGACGCAGCAACGCCGCGUGUGGGAUGACGGCUUUCGGGUUGUAAACCACUUUCAGUGAUGACGAAAAUGACGGUAAUCACAGAAGAAGGUCCGGCCAACUACGUGCCAGCAGCCGCGGUAACACGUAGGGACCGAGCGUUGUCCGGAUUUAUUGGGCGUAAAGAGCUCGUAGGCGGUUCUGUAAGUCGGAUGUGAAAACUCAGGGCUCAACCCUGAGACGCAUCUGAUACUGCAGGACUAGAGUCCGGUAGAGGAAGAUGGAAUUCCUGGUGUAGCGGUGGAAUGCGCAGAUAUCAGGAGGAACACCAAUGGCGAAGGCAGGCUUCUGGGCCGGUACUGACGCUGAGGAGCGAAAGCAUGGGGAGCAAACAGGAUU